GAUGAACGCUGGCGGCGUGCCUAACACAUGCAAGUCGUACGGUCAGGCCCUUCCGGGGCUCCUCUCGUGCCGACGGCGGGAGUAUCACGUACAUAACCUUCCCACAACUUUGGGAAUACGCUAGGAAACGGGUGCCAAAACUGGAAUUGGUCUACUGCUCCAUCGUGGGGGUUGUAAAGCCCCGGCGGUUUUGGAUGGACUGUAGGCCUAUCAGCUUGUUGGUGUGGUAGUGGCCUACCAAGGCGGCGACGGGUAGCCGGCCUGUGUGGGUGACCGGCGACAUUGGGACUGAGAUACGGCCCAGACUCCUACGGGAGGAAGAUGGGGGGAAUAUUGCACAAGGGGCGUAGGCCGGAUGCAGCAAGGCCGCGUGCGGGAAGACGGUCUUAGGGGUGAAAACCGCUUGCAGCAGGAACGAAGCUUUUUUUGACGGUACCUGCAGAAGAAGCACCGGCUAACUACGUG
rnacentral:rRNA from 1 species